GUUAUAUGGUCAAGUGAAUAAGCGCAUAUGGUGGAUGCCUAGGCGAUAAGAGGCGAUGAAGGACGUUGUAGCUUGCGAUAAGCCACGGGGAGUCAGCAAACAGACUUUGAUCCGUGGAUUUCCGAAUGGGGAAACCCAGCCCGUAUAAGCGGGUUAUCAUGCACUGAAUACAUAGGUGUAUGAGGCGAACCCGGGGAACUGAAACAUCUAAGUACCCGGAGGAAAAGAAAUCAACCGAGAUUCCCUUAGUAGCGGCGAGCGAACGGGGAUUAGCCCUUAAGCUGUUGAUGUGUUAGUGGAACAUUCUGGAAAGUUUGGCGAUACAGGGUGAUAGCCCCGUACACGAAAACUAUUCAACAGUGAAAUCGAGUAGGGCGGGACACGUGAUAUCCUGUCUGAACAUGGGGGGACCAUCCUCCAAGGCUAAAUACUCCUUAUCGACCGAUAGUGAACCAGUACCGUGAGGGAAAGGCGAAAAGAACCCUUUUUAAGGGAGUGAAAUAGAACCUGAAACCGUAUGCGUACAAGCAGUGGGAGCCCUUCGGGGUGACUGCGUACCUUUUGUAUAAUGGGUCAGCGACUUACUUCUCAGUAGCAAGCUUAACCGAAUAGGGGAGGCGUAGGGAAACCGAGUCUUAAUAGGGCGAAUGAGUUGCUGGGAGUAGACCCGAAACCGGGCGAUCUAUCCAUGGCCAGGGUGAAGGUGGAGUAACAUCUACUGGAGGCCCGAACCGGGAUCUGUUGAAAAAGAUUCGGAUGAGCUGUGGAUCGGAGUGAAAGGCUAAUCAAGCUCGGAGAUAGCUGGUUCUCCUCGAAAGCUAUUUAGGUAGCGCCUCAUGUAUCACUCGCGGGGGUAGAGCACUGUUUCGGCUAGGGGGUCAUCCCGACUUACCAAACCGAUGCAAACUCCGAAUACCGCGAAGUGCAAUCAUGGGAGACAGACGGCGGGUGCUAACGUCCGUCGUCAAAAGGGAAACAACCCAGACCGCCAGCUAAGGUCCCAAAAUCACAUCUCAGUGGGAAACGAUGUGGGAAGGCAUAGACAGCUAGGAGGUUGGCUUAGAAGCAGCCAUCCUUUAAAGAAAGCGUAAUAGCUCACUAGUCGAGUCGGCCUGCGCGGAAGAUUUAACGGGGCUUAAGAUGUGUACCGAAGCUGCGGAUGCGUGUUUACACGCAUGGUAGAGGAGCGUUCUGUAAGCGGUUGAAGGUGUGUCGUAAGGCAUGCUGGACGUAUCAGAAGUGCGAAUGCUGACAUGAGUAACGAUAAAGGGGGUGAGAGGCCCCCUCGCCGAAAGCCCAAGGUUUCCUGCGCAACGCUAAUCGGCGCAGGGUUAGUCGGCCCCUAAGGUGAGGCAGAAAUGCGUAAUCGAUGGGAAGCAGGUUAAUAUUCCUGCACCUCUUAUUACUGCGAUGGAGAGACGGAGAAGGCUAGGCCAUCCGGGCGUUGGUUGUCCCGGUUUAAGCGAGUAGGGAGUGAGUUUAGGUAAAUCCGGACUCACAAUCCUGAGACGUGAUGACGAAGCAUCUUUGGAUGUGAAGUGGUUGAUGCCAUACUUCCAGGAAAAUCUUCUAAGCUUCAGGUAAUAAGAGACCGUACCCCAAACCGACACAGGUGGGCUGGAUGAGAAUUCCAAGGCGCUUGAGAGAACUCUGGUGAAGGAACUAGGCAAAAUGGUACCGUAACUUCGGGAGAAGGUACGCCCUUGAUGGUGAUGAGAUUUACUCUUUAAGCUAUUGAGGGUUGCAAUAAAAUGGUGGCUGCAACUGUUUAUUAAAAACAUAGCACUCUGCAAACACGAAAGUGGACGUAUAGGGUGUGACGCCUGCCCGGUGCCGGAAGGUUAAUUGAUGGGGUUAUCUUCGGAGAAGCUCUUGAUCGAAGCCCCGGUAAACGGCGGCCGUAACUAUAACGGUCCUAAGGUAGCGAAAUUCCUUGUCGGGUAAGUUCCGACCUGCACGAAUGGCGUAAUGAUGGCCACACUGUCUCCACCAGAGACUCAGUGAAAUUGAACUCGCUGUUAAGAUGCAGCGUACCCGCGGCUAGACGGAAAGACCCCGUGCACCUUUACUACAGCUUCACACUGGACUUUGAGCCUACUUGUGUAGGAUAGGUGGGAGGCUUUGAAACCGAGACGCCAGUCUUGGUGGAGCCAACCUUGAAAUACCACCCUGGUAUGUUUGGAGUUCUAACCUCGACCCGUUAUCCGGGUUAGGGACAGUGUGUGGUGGGUAGUUUGACUGGGGCGGUCUCCUCCCAAAG
rnacentral:rRNA from 1 species